rnacentral:misc_RNA from 1 species
UGGUUCUGGCAUNGAUGAAGAACGCAGCGAAAUGCGAUAAGUAAUGUGAAUUGCAGAAUUCAGUGAAUCAUCGAAUCUUUGAACGCACAUUGCACCUUUGAGUAUUCUCUGAGGUAUGCCUGUUUGAGCGUCGUUUAAAUCUUAUAAAGCCUUGCUUUUUGUUAGAAUUUGGUUAGAAAUAUCCAAUUUCUCAAACAGAGUGGCGUCAUUUUUUUGGUCAAUAUGCAGUGAAAAUGCGUAACCUGACAAAAAAGAGAUCUUACUGCCUGUUUUUUUAAUAUCAUUGUUCGACCUCAAAUCAAGUAAGACUACCCGCUGA